ACUGGAACUGGCGUACGGGGUUAUCUCCCCACUCGCUCCUUGGUAUCGGAUUUCCCUCAAGUUUUCCAGCCCCGAGGUAAAAAGGAAAGGAGACCAGACGUUAGACCUCCCUCACAGUCAUCACUUCACCAGCACAGAGCUCAGACGCCCCUCCGUGGAAGAUUAGGGGGCAGGCGCCCGUCCCUGCGCUUCCGGCCCCGGCCCCGCCCAUUUCCUUCCGCGCCGGAUUCCUGAGGAGAAAGCGGGCCCUGGUUCUGGGAGACAGUCUCGAAGCUACCUUCGGCGCCGGGCUCUCUGAGCAUGCGCGCACCGAGCCUCGCGCCGUCCCUCACUCACUCCCGUCCCCCUCCCCCGCGCCCCGCGUCCAGUAGAAGGAGGCGGGAGUAUUUUCACUGCGGGAACUGCUUUAGGUCCCGGGUUGUUUUCCCUGUGCAGAUAAUCCAAACUCGCGCGAGAAACCCAGGGCUGGGGCGCUGACAAGAAAUGGGGGACCCGGGGACCGAGCCGAGCAGCUCACCAGCUGAAGCCAAGCAAGUAUACAGUUUUGCUGUUGCCCAGACUGGAGUACCCUGGCACAAU